CCCUGUAGCGCAAUGGAUAGCGCAUUGAACAUCGAAUCUAAAGGUCAUGGGUUCGAAUCCAAUCUGGAAGG